AGUGCCCCGCCCAGCAUACAGUAUAAAUACAGUGCUCAGCCUUGCCAUCUCCCACAGAGCGUGCCAGACCAGAAACAACUCCGCUCCAGAGAGAGUAAAGACGCAAAGAUGAAGGUGUCAUAUGUGGCCGCUUUCCUCAUCGGGCUCCUCUCCCUGGAGAGCACCAGAGCGGCUCCGUUGUUGUGGUCUGUGGGCUCUGGUAGCGUAAAGACCGGUGACGUGGGCCACGGCAGCUUUAACGACAACAGCAAAAACAACAAAUUCUGGUCAGUGGGCUCUGGGAGCGUAAACACCGGUGACGUGGGCCACGGCAGCUUUAACGACAACAGCAUAAACAACAAAUUCUUGCCAGUGAAAAACAACAAAUUCUGGUCAGUGGGCUCUGGUAGCGUAAAGACUGGUGACGUGGGCCACGGCAGCUUUAACGACAACAGCAUAAACAACAAAUUCUUGCCAGUGAAAAACAACAAAUUCUGGUCAGUGGGCUCUGGUAGCGUAAACACUGGAGACGUGGGCCACGGCAGCUUUAACGACAACAGUAUAAACAACAAAAUCUUGCCAGUGAAAAAGAACAAAUUCUGGUCAGUGGGCUCUGGGAGCGUAAACACCGGUGACGUGGGCCACGGCAGCUUUAACGACAACAGCAAAAACAACAAAUUCUGGUCAGUGGACUCUGGUAGCGUAAACACCGGUGACGUAGGCCAUGGCAGCUUUAACGACAACAGCAAAAACAACAAAUUAUGCUUAGUG
rnacentral:lncRNA from 1 species